rnacentral:misc_RNA from 1 species
UCCACAACGGUAACAUUUUGGUACAACUUAAAUUUGCAUACAUUAAACAAGAACCAAAACUAUAUAGAUAGGUUGGUAACUAAGCAGAACUGUGGCUUCGAGUUCGGAGACCAGGUAUGAUCAUUCCUCUCUUGAUGAAGGAUCUACACCAGUGGCGGGGCUGUCGGCAAAGUAUUCCUGAUGCUUCAAAUUCACACCAUACUCGCGCAAGGCUUUAGAAAGAUCCUCCAUUGUCAAGACGAGUCGUUUUUCCUUUGGCUGCUUACUCUUGUCCUUCACUGGCGCUGAGAGCCUUGCUUUGCAGUGCUGAAGAGCAUCACUUGCAACCUCAGACACAAACUUCUGGGUUGCUACAGCUACCAGUCUUGUUAGGCGCAGGUCGGGG